AGAAUCAACGCUGGCGGCGUGCCUAACACAUGCAAGUCGCACGAGAAAGGGGAGCAAUCCCUGAGUACAGUGGCGCACGGGUGAGUAACACGUGAAUAAUCUACCUCCGAGUGGGGAAUAAACUGAGAGAAAUCUUAGCUAAUACCGCAUAACACUUACGAGUCAAAGCAGCAAUGCGCUUGGAGAGGAGUUCGCGGCCGAUUAGUUAGUUGGCGGGUAAUGGCCCACCAAGACGAUGAUCGGUAU
rnacentral:rRNA from 1 species